CACACGCGGGCUUGCGGUGCGUGCGCUUGCAUGGCGUCGCCCCGAUCCGGUGUCCGGACACUGUCUCCGGACGUCGCCCGCGGAGGAUCAACCGGAAAAGGAAGAUUU
rnacentral:sRNA from 2 species